rnacentral:rRNA from 1 species
GUUACAGCAGCCGCGGUAAUACGGGGGGAGCAAGCGUUGUUCGGAUUUACUGGGCGUAAAGGGCGCGUAGGCGGCCUCCGCAAGUCAAUUGUGAAAUCUCCGGGCUCAACUCGGAAAGGUCAACUGAUACUGCGGGGCUAGAGUGCGGAAGGGGCAACUGGAAUUCUCGGUGUAGCGGUGAAAUGCGUAGAUAUCGAGAGGAACACCUGCGGCGAAGGCGGGUUGCUGGGCCGACACUGACGCUGAGGCGCGAAAGCUAGGGGAGCGAACGGGAUUAGAUACCCCGGUAGUCC